UUCUGAGAGAUGGACAUCCUGUAGUUGGACAGCCCUGCAGUUGCUGUCUCUGCCCAUCUAAGAUGGAACCCGCUGUGGAAGAGAUAUUUGGUGUUGACAAAUGCAGCAUCACAUUGUCUGACCUCCUGCAUCAGAAGAAUUGUGAUCUUCAAGCUCGACCAAGACAGAUGAGAGCAUUAAUAAUCCUGAAAAUCAUUCUGGAAUUCAACAGAAGAGACAAAUGGAGCAGAGCCCCCAGCCUCAGGGGUCGGAAUGAAAAGUGCUGACUUCAGAAGCGGCUCCCUUGGCCUGGUUCUGGGUGCACUGAGUGCCUGCCAGCCUGUGGCUCUUCUUGCAGGCC
ensembl:lncRNA